rnacentral:lncRNA from 1 species
UUAGAUUUAUUUAUUAUUUAUACAACAUUCUGCCUGCACACCAGAUCUUACUAUAGAUGGUUAUGAGCCACCCUGUGGUUGCUGGGAACUGAACUCAGGACCUUUAGAAGAACAUCGAGUGUUCUUAACCUCUGAGCCAUCACUCAAGCCCCAGAGCUGACAUUUCUACCUGCCAAAACAUAGUGUGAUUUAAGCAUGGACAGAGGUAUCGUUUAAAGUGACAGGAAAGGCAGAGGGCUCUCUCUUCCCUUAGAGAGAGGCCCAUGCCAUAUUCCCAGUGUAGAGCACCUGCAUGUGUUGGGGUUCUCCCAUGGCAGGUCCCCAUGUCUGCUCCAUCUGACAGAUAAGGAAACUGAGGUUCAAAGAGGAAGUAACCUGCCACAGACAUACAGGCUGUGAGGGGCGGAUGCCGCAGCUUCUCUGGGGCAGAACCAGAGGCUGGCGUCCACAUUUCCUCCAGGCUGGAGUGCAGAGAUCGGCUCAGGACCAGCGUUACUCUCAGACCCCUCAUGGGUAUCCAUGUCUUCCCGGAUGAAGAAGGGGUUUCCUCAGCUGCCCGUGGGGGGGGCAGUAGGACAUACUGCUGUCCCCUUGUCCAGCCUCCCAGUUGUGUAUCAGGGCCAAGGCUCAUUGUGGCCACUGGAAGGGUCCUGAGGUCUGGAAAUCGCUGUGGGCUUGGGUUGGUAAGGCACCUGACUACGUGAGGCCAAGCAUGAGGUGGGCAUCAAGGUCUCUCUUGUAGGUCCCUUCUUCCUGCUUAUAAGCCCACAAUGCCCACUCCCAUGUGGACAACCAGCUCUCACAUUUCCCCAUUCAGCUGAUGGUGAACACUGUGCUAUUUUAAGCCCGCAUGGAAGUAUGUCUUUUUUUUUUUUUUAAAUAAGGACCAUCUGCUACCGGCCCCAGCCCAGAUGAUACAGUUGGAGCCUGCCCACAGCAUCCUCUCCCGCCUUCAGACGGUUCCAGGAACGAGAGUGAGUCAGACCCAGCUGAAGCAUGUCUUGCUAACCCAAGCAAUAGCCCAGGGGCCCAGCACAGGGGACCACCUGCUUGCCGGGCAGGUGUUCUCUUCCCGCCUCUCCACACAGGGAAGGAAUCUCACCCUGAGCCUCACGGGCGCUCAGACCCGCCUUCCAGAUGCUGCCCCUUCCCUUUCCCAGGUCUGCAGCCAGUCACGAGUUCAAGCGCAGCUGCUGCAGCUCCUCACCACGGCAGCUUGUCACAAGGCACGUCACAGUGAAGCUGGUGGCUCAGAGCCUGGUCACUUCCUGCCGUGGUGGUGGCUCUCAGAAGAACUCCUGGAUCUACUUUGGUGUGGAGUCUACAUGGAAGCUGGAGUUCCUGUUCCAGAGACCCUACAGGAGGCUGAUGGCAGCGACACUGUUGUGGAGCCUGGAGACAUGUGGAUGCCCUUCUGGGCCUGAGAGACAGGGCUGCCAAGAACAUCUUAGCACAAUUCCCUUGGCAUGGAAGCCUGGCACUCCAGCUUGUGGAGGGGCUUGGGGAAGGCAAGGGUCCUGGAGGACAUUGAGACAAGCAGGGAAAGCCACACAGAACCAGCAUCACUCAAGGGGGUCGGAAAUGACAUGGUGAUCUGGUGCUUCUGGCAUGGGAACUGGGAUCGACCAGAAGGUCAAGGAUGGCAUGAAGCAAGGGAGUUUGUCAUUGAUGACAAGGGAAUUUUGCAUUUCUCAGAAGGUCAGGGAUGGCGUGAGGACUUAGACGUCCUGAAGGUUGGGAAUGACACAAAGACUUGGGCUUCUCCAAGAGAUUAGGGAUUACUCAGGGAGCUCUGGGAUGACACAGGGGCUGGGGUCUCCCGCGGAGAUCACAGACAGCCUGGGGAAUGCCCAGAGAGGUCAGGCUUUGAGUUGGGCUUUGUUUCUGCUGGUGACCCAUGACAGUCUUCUGACCCAGUGGCUUUCUGUUUCCUUUUUCUGAGAGAAUGGGGCAGUGGCUUGUGCCAUCCCAGAGGGAUCUGGGAUAGGGUCAAAAGGACAUUUGUACAUUUAUUUUUUAUGAUCUCUGUCUUGUACAGUCUUGGCUGGAAUGUACCUGAAGGGACUCUCUGGAAGAGGAAAGCAGGAGGGGUUGAGGCAGCCGGGGGAAUCCCUGAGAACAGGAAUUGGGUCUGUGGGCAGCCAUUCCCUCUACAGCUGUGGUUCUCAACCUUCCUAAAGCUGCAACCUUUAAUACAGUUUUUCAGGUUGCAGUGAUCCCCAAGCACAAGAAAGAAUUUCUUUUUCUACUUCAUGACUACAAUUUGCUAUUGUUGUAUAUUGUAAUAGAAAUGCCUG